rnacentral:rRNA from 1 species
AACGAACGCUGGCGGCAUGCCUAACACAUGCAAGUCGAACGAGACCAUCGUGUAUGGUGGCGCACGGGGGCGUAACGCGGGGGAACGGGCCCGUAGGUUCGGAAUAAUUCCCCGAAAGGGGUGCUAAUACCGGAUAAUGUCGUCUAACAAAAGAUUUAUCUUGCUGGGGUGGGCCCGCGUUGGAUGGACUUGUUGGGAGGGUAAAAGCCUACCAAGGCGAAGAUCCAUAGCUGGGCUGAGAGGAUGAUCCGCCACACUGGGAGUGGGACACGGCCCGGACUCUUGCGGGAGGGAGCAGUGGGGAAUCUAGGACAAUGGGCGAAAGCAUGAUGCAGCAAGGCUGCGUGAGUGAUGAAGGCGUUAGGGUUGUAAAGCUCUUUUAACCGGGAUGAUAAUGACAGUACCGGGAGAAUAAGCUCCGGCUAACUCCGUG